GUUUUCCCUUGUAUUUUUUCUCUAGCUCUGUAACUAGUUGAGACAAAUCUAUUUUACACAACUUUUAUUUUUACAUUCCAUCUUCUGCAUCUCUUACUGUUUUCUUGGAGUAUUGCAUCUCACACAACCACUGCUUUCUGGGUCUUUCAUAUCCUACUGCCAGAGUGGGGUUCCAUGGCAAGGACGUUGCUGGUCAUUUCCCAGUUGCUUCUCACUCCACUCCAGGACUGCAGCAGAUGCCUGAGCCUUGCAGCUGUUCCUUGGUUGGAGUGAUAUGGAAAGGCAAAUAAGAAGUAUUUUCUUGAUUUCAAGGACAUGAUCUCCACUUCUCAUUGUCAUUAGGAAAACACCUGAUGGGAGUACUUGGUUCAGAAUGGGAUAAAAUGAGGACAAAGGACUCCAGUCAUAUCAGAAUAUCAGUAUUGCUGAUUUAUGCCACUUCUUUAUGGAACAACAAUACAAGAAUGAUCCUGUGAAGACUCCACUUAGUGUCACUUGUGGAAGUGAAUUACAAAGUGAUGGCCCAAGAGAAGAGUGAACAAAUCUGGCAUGUGGGCAUUAAGUUAUCAGCUCAGGAAAUGAACUUGCAUGUAGCAUGGAGCUACAAAAGUCU
rnacentral:lncRNA from 1 species